AUCCGGCUGACGAGUCCCAGAUAAAACGAAACGCGCGUCCUGGGU
rnacentral:hammerhead_ribozyme from 1 species